GGCUGAGUGGUGUAGUGGUUAUCACACCUGUCUUACACACAGGCGGUCGUCGGUUCGAUCCCGGCCUCAGUCA
rnacentral:tRNA from 1 species